rnacentral:rRNA from 1 species
UACGUAGGGGGCAAGCGUUGUCCGGAAUCAUUGGGCGUAAAGCGCGCGUAGGCGGCCCAGUAAGUCCGUUGUGAAAGUCAAAGGCUCAACCUUUGAAAGCCGAUGGAUACUGCCGGGCUGGAGUCCGGAAGAGGCGAGUGGAAUUCCUGGUGUAGCGGUGGAAUGCGCAGAUAUCAGGAGGAACACCAAUAGCGAAGGCAGCUCGCUGGGACGGUACUGACGCCUGAGGCGCGAAAGCGUGGGGAGCGAACAGG